CAGCCGCCGCGGUAAUACGGGGGGAGCAAGCGUUGUUCGGAUUUACUGGGCGUAAAGGGCGCGUAGGCGGCCACGACAAGUCACUUGUGAAAUCUCCGGGCUUAACCCGGAACGGUCAAGUGAUACUGUCGGGCUAGAGUGCAGAAGGGGCAACUGGAAUUCUCGGUGUAGCGGUGAAAUGCGUAGAUAUCGAGAGGAACACCUGCGGCGAAGGCGGGUUGCUGGGCUGACACUGACGCUGAGGCGCGAAAGCCAGGGGAGCGAACGGGAUUAGAUACCCCGGUAGUCCUGGCCUUAAACGAUGAGUGCUUGGUGUCUCGGGUUAUAAAGUCCCGGGGUGCCGUCGCUAACGCUUUUAGCAUUCCGCCUGGGGAGUACGGUCGCAAGACUGAAACUCAAAGGAAUUGACGG
rnacentral:rRNA from 1 species